AUUGAACGCUGGCGGCAUGCCUUACACAUGCAAGUCGAACGGCAGCACGGGAGCAAUCCUGGCGGCGAGUGGCGAACGGGUGAGUAAUAUAUCGGAACGUGCCCAGUAAUGGGGGAUAGCCCGGCGAAAGCCGGAUUAAUACCGCAUACGACCUACGGGUGAAAGCAGGGGAUCGCAAGACCUUGCGUUAUUGGAGCGGCCGAUAUCAGAUUAGCUAGUUGGUGGGGUAAAAGCCUACCAAGGCGACGAUCUGUAGCUGGUCUGAGAGGACGACCAGCCACACUGGGACUGAGACACGGCCCAGACUCCUACGGGAGGCAGCAGUGGGGAAUUUUGGACAAUGGGCGCAAGCCUGGUCCAGCCAUGCCGCGUGUGGGAAGAAGGCCUUCGGGUUGUAAACCACUUUUGUCAGGGAAGAAACGCUCUGGGCUAAUACCCUGGGGUAAUGACGGUACCUGGAGAAUAAGCACCGGCUAACUACGUGCCAGCAGCCGCAGUAAUAC
rnacentral:rRNA from 1 species